GGAUAUUUGUUUUGCAACUCUUGGGUUAGUGCUACAAUAGCGGAGACUUGGAAUUGGAAUUAGCGUAGUGGGAUUGGAAAAUGAUGUCAAAAAGGAUUUGACAAUCCUAAUGCCACGGUUUCAGCUGGUUAGUAAGUUUUUGUAAGGUGUCUGAUCAAUCAUCCGCAUCCAAACAUCGCAUUGUUGGCCUGAAAAAAUUGGCUC
rnacentral:lncRNA from 1 species